GAUGAAGAACGUAGCGAAAUGCGAUACGUAAUGUGAAUUGCAGAAUUCAGUGAAUCAUCGAAUCUUUGAACGCAUAUUGCGCUCUCUGGUAUUCCGGAGAGCAUGCUUGUUUGAGUAUCAGUAAACACCUCAACUUCCAUAUCUUUUUUGAAAUGGGAGUUGGACUUGAGUGAUCCCAACGCUUUUCCUCACCGAAAAGUGGCGGGUUACUUGAAAUGCAGGUGCAGCUGGACUUUUCUCUGAGCUAUAAGCAUAUCUAUUUAGUCUGCCUAAAAAACAGAUUAUUACCUUUGCUGCAGCUAACAUAAAGGAGAUUAGUUCUUGUGCUGACUGAUGCAGGAUUCACAAACACGGCUUCGGCCGACUUUGUAAACUCGAUCUCAAAUCAAGUAAGACUACCCGCUGAACUUAAGCAUAUCAAUAAGCGGAGGA
rnacentral:misc_RNA from 1 species